CACAUUUUGAACUUUAUAUUUAUUGUGAAAUAUAAUUUUACUGAUUCAACACUAGAUAUGGGCUAAAACUGGGAAAGUUUUUACCCACUAUAAAAUAAUACAAUUAAAAUGUUUUUUCCAAUUGGCUGGCCUCGUGUUUUAAGAUUUUCACAACCAGAAAAGAUAUGUUCUAUCACUUGUAAUCGUGAUAAAAUUCUUUUUGGUAUUCUUACUGUUGAUGGCAUUAGCAUUUGGUGUUGUAAACCUUGCGUUCCUCUUGUUUUUCAAAAACGCUCGAAAGAAUGUUUACAAAAAUAUGGUGAAAAUUUCAUAUUAGAAUGGCGCCCCGAUUCAAGUAUGCUUGCC